rnacentral:misc_RNA from 1 species
CCGCUGCUAUACCUGAUGAGC